rnacentral:misc_RNA from 1 species
UCUCCGUUGGUGAACCAGCGGAGGGAUCAUUACAGGACUCGCAAGACUCCUACAACCCUGUGAACUAAACUAUAAUCACGUUGCUUCGGCGGGUGUCUCGGAGGGGGCUCUCCCUCCCCGAGACGCUAAACCCGCCUGCAGCCUACUAUACUCUGUCUCUUUGCGUUGGCAUCUCGAGUACAAUCAAACAAGUUAAAACUUUCAACAACGGAUCUCUUGGUUCUG